rnacentral:rRNA from 1 species
UACGAAGGGGGCUAGCGUUGCUCGGAAUCACUGGGCGUAAAGCGCACGUAGGCGGCUUUUUAAGUCAGGGGUGAAAUCCUGGAGCUCAACUCCAGAACUGCCUUUGAUACUGGGAAGCUUGAGUCCGGGAGAGGUGAGUGGAACUCCGAGUGUAGAGGUGAAAUUCGUAGAUAUUCGGAAGAACACCAGUGGCGAAGGCGGCUCACUGGCCCGGUACUGACGCUGAGGUGCGAUAGCGUGGGGAGCAAACAGG